UGGGAUCAAGGUUUUAAAUUGCGGUUGCGGUCGUGGAUGCGGUUGCAGGUAUUGCGAUUGCGGCUAAUGCGGACACUGCGAUGCAAUUGCGGCCGUUGCGACGUGAAAUAAUUUUUUAUCCGCACAAACACAGAAAAAAUACUAUAAUUAUUGUAAUUCCUUAUAUAUCUUUUACUUAUAAUUCUAUAUAAAUUUUAAUUCA